GAUGAACGCUGGCGGCGUGCCUAAUACAUGCAAGUCGAGCGAACAGACGAGGAGCUUGCUCCUCUGACGUUAGCGGCGGACGGGUGAGUAACACGUGGAUAACCUACCUAUAAGACUGGGAUAACUUCGGGAAACCGGAGCUAAUACCGGAUAAUAUAUUUAACCACAUGGUUCAAUAGUGAAAGACGGUUUUGCUGUCACUUAUAGAUGGAUCCGCGCCGCAUUAGCUAGUUGGUAAGGGAACGGCUUCCCAAGGCAACGAAGCGUAGCCGACCUGAGAGGGUGAUCGGCCCCACUGGAACGGGAACCCGGUCCAGACUCCUCCGGGGGGCAGCAGAAGGGAAUUUUCCGCAAUGAGCGAAAGCUUGACGAAGCAACGCCGCGUAAGGGAUGAAGGUCUUCGGAUCGUAAACCUCUUUUAUUAGGGAAGAACAAGUGUGUAAGUAAAGACUCACGUCUUGACGGUACCUACUCAGAAAGCCACGGCUAACUACGUG
rnacentral:rRNA from 1 species